AAAUAAAAUAAACUUUUGCCAACAACAAUAUUCUGAAUGAUAAGAUAGAACCACGAAUCCAAGGAGGAUACCCGGGCGCUCACGAUUUGCGCAGUGAACAGGGUGAAAUCUGAAAUCAACGUACGCAAUGGCAAACGCUACCGAAACGUCGCGUCCGUCUUCAGCACCGACGUAGGCAAGGACAAUGAGUAUCUCCCAGUUCCGAUACGCCUUAAAAACCCGCAGCUCAACUGCCCGCUUCCAACUCGGAAAACUCCAAUGACCUUGUCUCGAUCUAGACCUACCUCAAAGGACCAGCACCAAGAAGCUCAUCUCAACGGGAACGCGUGGGAACCAGGCGCGUGUAGUCGUGUGACAAUUUCUCCAGAGCAUCGUCAAAAUCACUGCCAAAAAACGGCACCAUGAUUUGAUUAAUGAGUUUAUGAGAAAUGUUGUGUAACAAAAUAAAAUAAAAUUACAAUAAAAAGUGAAACAAA